rnacentral:rRNA from 1 species
UGCAUCGAUGAAGAACGCAGCAAACUGCGAUAAGUAAUGUGAAUUGCGGAAUUUAGUGAAUCAUCGAAUCUUUGAACGCAAAUGGCGCUCUUGGGCAAUCCCAGGAGCACGUCUGUCUGAGCGUCGUUUCUCACAUCCAGCUGUACCUUGCGUGUGCAGUUGGGCCAUGAGGCGUCCACAGUUGUGUCCGUGUGUCGGCCUGCCCGCCACGAGCACGUGGUCCCUUGAAGUGCAGCAAUUCCGAAGCCGGUAGCCCUCGGGUGUCCUGGUUCUCGGUGUGGUAGUAACAUAUCUCACCGGAGAGGCAAGGCAGGCGUGGUGCUCCACCAUUCGGGGAAGGAACGCGUGCAAACUCCAUUAAUGGGGUUUGACCAAUUUAGACCUCAGAUCAGGCGAGACUACCCGCUGAACUUAAGCAUAUCAAUAAGCGGAGG